AACGAACGCUGGCGGCAUGCCUAACACAUGCAAGUCGAACGAGACCUUCGGGUCUAGUGGCGCACGGGUGCGUAACGCGUUGGAACCUGCCCUUAGGUUCGGAAUAACUCCCCGAAAGGGGUUCUAAUACCGGAUAAUGUCUUCGGACCAAAGAUUUAUCGCCUUUGGAUGGGCCCGCGUUGUAUUAGCUAGUUGGUAGGGUAAAAGCCUACCAAGGCGACGAUCCAUAGCUGGUCUGAGAGGAUGAUCAGCCACACUGGGACUGAGACACGGCCCAGACUCCUACGGGAGGCAGAAGUGGGGAAUAUUGGACAAUGGGCGAAAGCCUGAUCCAGCAAUGACGCGUGAGUGAUGAAGGCCUUAGGGUUGUAAAGCUCUUUUACCCGGGAUGAUAAUGACAGUACCGGGAGAAUAAGCUCCGGCUAACUCCGUG
rnacentral:rRNA from 1 species